CAACCUCAACUCAUAUGGGACUACCCCCUGAAUUUAAGCAUAUUAAUUAGGGGAGGAAAAGAAACUAACAAGGAUUUUCUUAGUAGCGGCGAGCGAAAAGAAAUCAGUUCAGCACUAAGUCACUUUGUCUAUAUGGCAAAUGUGAGAUGCAGUGUACGGAACAUCAACAUUCUAGUAUGAGAAGUUAACGAUUUAAGUCCUUCUUAAAUGAGGCCAUUUACCCAUAGAGGGUGCCAGGCCCGUAUAACGUUAAUGAUUACUAGAUGGUGUUUCCAAAGAGUCGUGUUGCUUGAUAGUGCAGCACUAAGUGGGUGGUAAACUCCAUCUAAAACUAAAUAUAACCAUGAGACCGAUAGUAAACAAGUACCGUGAGGGAAAGUUGAAAAGAACUCUGAAUAGAGAGUUAAAUAGUACGUGAAACUGCUUAGAGGUUAAGCCCGAUGAACCUGAAUAUCCGUUAUGGAAAAUUCAUCAUUAGAAUUGUAAUAUUUUAAACAAUAUUAUAAUAAUAGUGUGCAUUUUUUCCAUAUAAGGACAUUGUAAUCUAUUAGCAUAAAUAUUUAUCAUAAAAUUAUGUCUGAUUGCUUAUUUGAAUUAUAUGCUUGGCAUUUUAACAUAAAAUAAAAGAUAUAAAUUUGAUAAAGUGCUGAUAGAUUUAUAUGAUUACAGUGCGUUAAUUUUUCGGAAUUAUAUAAUGGCAUAAUUAUCAUUGAUAUUUGUGUUUAUUAUAUGCAUUUGUAUGAUUAACAAUGCGAAAGAUUCAGGAAACUUUCGGGACCCGUCUUUGAAACCGGAACAAGGAGUCUAACAUAUGGGGCAAGUUAUUUGGG
rnacentral:ncRNA from 1 species